CAAGACUAUUCAAUUAAUCCUUCAUUCCUUCAGAUUAGAUCUAGACCAAAACUGAUUUUCUUUCAUGCCACUUCCUCCUCUCUCUCUCUCACGCUUUAUUCACCGAGCUCAAAACCCUAACCUAGCGAUCCCCGACCUCCAUUGAAGCGAGAGAUUUGGUGAGAAGCGGAGGAGAUCGAGCUUCAUUGAUGACAUGGUCGAGGAGGACGAGGAGGAGGAAGAGGAGGACGACGACGAUGAUGAAUACGGCCCCUAUCGUGGCGGCAGCGGCGGGAGUCGUAAGCUGAGCAAGAAGAGGCCUUCUGGUGGAUUUUCUUGAUUUCGCAGCGGUGGUCGAUUCAGAUGAGGAGGAUGAGGAGGAAGAUACUGUACAUUAUAAAUAAAGAAUUGUGAUAAGAGCCAAGCUGAACCAGUUGCAGUAUUUCCAACCUGAAAAAGUGGCUCAUCAAUCUUGAGAGAGCGGACUCCAACAUAGAUAGAUGUUCCUGAGGCCUCCAACAGCAUCCUCUACUUUGUGGGAACCGUCUCCGAAAGGUGCUUGCCUCAGUACCAUAGAUUUCAAGCCGCCUCAAUUAUCAACUGCGAGUUCAUAUAAUCUUGGCUUGAAGUUUGAGCAUGGAAAGCUUCGUAAAGGGGGAAGUACAUGCAGAACCAUCUACUCUGUCAGUAGGAAGCCCAGUGUAGAACCAACUUUCAGGAAGCGAGAUGCAUCUCCCCAAAAUGAGGAUCUUCCAGCUGUACUACCUAAGCAAAAGAAAAAACCAUAUCCCAUUCCCUUAAAGAAGAUUAAGCAGGCUGCAAAGGUGAACAAAAAACUUGCAGAAAAGGGUAUAGAAAAGCCGCUCGACCCUCCAAAAAAUGGAUUACUUGACCCUGAUCUAAUUCCUGUUGCUCAUCAAGUACUGCAUGCCUGGAAAGCUUUGAUUAAAGGCCUUGCACAGCUGUUGCAUGUUAUUCCAGUAUAUGGUUGCCUUGAAUGCUCUGAGGUCCAUGUAGCCCAUUCUGGCCAUCACAUUCAGGACUGUCUUGGUCCAUCAAAUGCUACACGCCGAAGCUGCUUCCACUCAUGGCCAUCACAUUUGGGUUUUGCAAAUUGUGAUGAAACUUGAAUUGGGUUUGCUUGUCUUGGUGCUGUUUUUAAUAAAGAAUUGGAUGGUCUAGUUUUUGUAACUUACUGCUUUUGUAGUCUGGUUUUGGAUUCAGGAAUGUGAGGUCUUAAGUCUUAAUAGAAUAUCCUGCAUUGACAGUUAAGGUUUAUCCCAAGCAUGCUUAAAUCACAUUUCUUUUCUUUCUGCUGUUUCUGGCGACUGGAUUGAUGGGGUUUUGUUCUUUAUUGAUGAUACGAUAGUAAUGCAAACCGAUGAUAAUUCUAAUACAGAUCGAUGUGGUAUGUGGGAACAGCUUGAUUGAGUAAUGUCCUCUGAGAUUGGCUAAGUGUACAAAGAUGACUUUGCUUUUUGUCUUAUUGUAUGUCUGUUCAGAAAUUAACUUAAUAGAGGUUUAUCUUUUCUUAUUGAUAAUUCCUGUUUAAAGUUUACUCAAUCCAAAAGGUAAGAUCUUAAGACUCUGAGUCAGAAUGGUAUGAAAGUUUCUGUUUCUUAUAGUGACAUUAGCAUGACUUUCCGUUUCUGAUCUUGGUUGGAAUUUACAGAUGCAAUCCAUCCUGCUGAUGUUGGACUUAAAGAGGAAAAUCCAGAUGAUGAUCGAGGGCUUGGUUUUUUCAGAGACAAUCUAAAUAGAGUUUCUCGAUGGACUCAACCAAUAACAUACUUCAAUUUAUAUGAAGGUGAUAGUUUUACGAUGUGUAUAUUCUGUUUUCCUACUUCCUCAGUCAUUCCACUUCAUGAUCACCUUGGCAUGACUGUUUUUAGCAAAGUUCUGUAUGGUUCUUUGCAUGUGAGAGCUUACGAUUGGGUGGAGCCUUCCCACGAAAGCAAGGGAUCAAAUUACUUUCCAGUUCCUAAACACAAUGUUCUCAUGAUCUGAGGUCAAAUUAUGUGGUAAAUGAUGGUGUGCUCUCCAAUGCAGAGAUGAGAUGACUCGAAUUUUCUGGAAAUCAAUCAAGGAUAAGCUUAUUCUCCCCUUUUUGGAUUUGGACAUUAAGUACUUUGACCUUGGUCUUCCUCACCGUGAUACCACUGAUGAUAAAGUUACCGUUGAAAGUUCAGAGGCUACUCUUAAGAGGAUUAGAAUGGGGCUGCUCCAGCUAGAAGUGUUCUGGUGUGGAUCCUAAUAUAAAUUAGAAAGUAUGCUUAGGCAGCAGCUGUGGUUGAUAGUCUGGCCAUCUUUUAGAAGUGAAGGUGCUGCUGCAGUGCUGUUGUUUUGGCUUACUCUUGAUUGCUGCUUGGUUAUAGAUGAUGGGUUUCAUAUUGUAAUUUGAUAUUUUUCGGUUCAUAAUAAUUGCUAUAGAUGGUACUAGCUUUGGUGUGCAAUUCACACCAUUUUUUUUUUUUAAAAUGAACUAUUCUUUUGCGACGGCAAAGUAUCUGUCGCAACCAAUUCA